ensembl:lncRNA
GGACCAUUGCUCUUUAACAUUGUCUCGCUCCAAUUUAUAGGAGGGAGAAGAGGUUCUUUGAAAUAUGUAUGCCCGGUGUGAGAUUAAGAAACAACAGUUCACAUGUUGGUCCGACCAGUUUAUUACAAAUGUUAAUAAGGGAGAUGGGGAAAGGGGAGGACAGACACUAUUAAGGAUUGGGGUGAUGGGGAAGGGAAGGCGAGCGAUAGAAAAGAUAGAAAGAGGCAAGAAUUGCGUAAAGCAGGGAUAGUCACCACCAGGAUCCGGCAGCAGUCCCGUUGCACGACGUUCCGAUGGUCCGAGGCCGAAGGGCAGGAGCAGCGAGGCCGGUCUUGGGCAACGAGAGGGUGCAGGUCAGGGAGGAAGCAGCAGGUCUCAGGUAGCAGGCCCAGGGAAGUCCGUCAGCAAACGGUCCGUAGAGAAGGAUCUGAAGGCAGGAAGCUUGUGUCGUGGUGAGAGAUCAUGAGAGAUCAGCCUCUGUGUUGCGGUGAGAGAUCAGCCUCCACGUUGCAAUGAGAGAUCAGAUGGCAGAGAACCUCUCAAGUCUGUCGUGGUGAGAGAGAAGCCUCUACCGUUGCCGUGGUUGUGGUGAAGGAUCAGCUUCCACCGUUGUGGUUAUUGGACCCUCUUUUAUCCUCCAUUUUCUGCUGCCUACGUGACAUUCCUGGGUGCUUGAGCAAGAGUCCUGUGCAUACCUCCUGAGAUGGCCAUUUUCCUUGAGAUAAGUCCACACAAAAAGACCGUUUCCCGGCCAUUAGCAGCAGCUUAUCUCUCUCUCAAUGCCCCUGGCCUUGUCCAUCUGUGCUCCUUAGAGGAUUUCACAAUCCUUAGCCAGUACCUGUCCAUCAGUGUCCUCAAGACAAAAGAUUUCUCUGCCUUUGCCCAGGACUUGCCUGGACUUGUUCCUCAGCAAACUUUGAGUCAAUGAUAUAAAAGAAUAGUCUCUUACAGACUGCCACAAGUCCACGGGGCCCGAUGAGAUUCACUGAAGAGUGCUGAGGGAACUGGCGGAGGUGAUAGCUGAGCCACUUUCCAUCAUCUGUCAGUGCUCCUUGUUGACUGGAGAGGUCCCAGAAGACUGGAGGCUUGCCAAUGUGACUCCCAUCUACAAGAAGGACUACAGGGAGGAUCCGGGGAACUACAGGCCUGUUAGCCUGACCUCAGUGCCAGGGAAGAUUAUGGAGCAGACUGUCUUGAGGGAGAUCAAGCCAAGCCAGCAUGGGUUCACGAAGGGCAGGUCCUGCUUGACUGACCAACCUGAUCUCCUUCUAUGAUCUAGUGACCCGUCUGGUGGAUGAGGGAAAGGCUGUUGAUGUAGUCUACCUAGACUUCAGCAAAGCCUUGACACUGUUUCCCACAGUAUUCUCCUGCAGAAGUUGGCAGUCCGUGGCUUGGACAGCUACAUUCUUGGCUGGGUAAGGAAUUGGCUGGAGGGCUGAGCUCAGAGAGUGGCGGUGAAUGGAAUUAAAUCCAGCUAGCAACUAGUCACAAGUGGUGUUCCCCAGGGGUUGUGCUGGGGCCCAUUCUCUCCAAUAUCUUUAUUGAUGACCUGGAUGAGGGCACUGAGUGCACCCUCAGUAAGUUUGCAGAUGACAACAAGUUGGCUGGAAGUGUCAACCUGCCUGGGGGCAGUGAGGCCCUACAGAGGGAUCUGGACAGGCUGGAUGGCUGGGCUGAAGCUGAUGUGAUGAGGUUCAGCAAGACCAAAUUCCAGGUCUUGCAUUUUUGCCACAAUAACCCCAGGCAACACUACAGGCUUGGGGCAGAGUGGCUGGAAGACUGUAGAGGAAAUGGACCUGGGGGUAUUGAUUGAUGCUCAACUGAACAUGAGCCAGCAGUGUGCCCAGGUGACCAAGAAGGCCAAUGGUAUCCUGGCUUGCAUCAGAAACAGUGCUGCCAGCAGGAACAGAGGAGUAAUUAUCCCCCUGUGCUCAGCCCUGGUGAGGCCGCACCUGGAGUACUGUGUCCAGUUUUGGGCCCCUCACUGUAAGAAAGACAUCGAGGCCCUGGAGCGUGUUCAAAGAAGGGCAUCAAAGCUGGUGAAGGAUCUGGAGCACAGGCUUUAUGAGGAACAGCUGAAGGAGCUGGGAUUGUUCAGUCUGGAGAAGAGGAGGCUCAGGGGAGACCUUAUUGCUCUCUAUAACUACCUGAAGGGAGGUUGUAGUGAGCUGGGGGCCAGCCUCUUCUCUUGUGUAACUAGUGACAGGACUAGAGGGAAUGGCUUCAAGCUGCACCAGGGAGGUUCAGGCUGGACAUCAGGAAAUACUUUUUCUCUGAAAGAGUGGUGAGGCACUGGAAUGGGCUGCCAAGGGAGCUGGUGGAGUCACCUACCCUGGGGGUGUUCAAGGAACAUUUGGACAUUGUGUUGAGGGACAUGGUUUAUUGAGAACUAUUGAUGAUGGGUGGAUGGUUGGACUGGGUGAUCCUGUGGGUCUUUUCCAACCUUGAUGAUUCUAUGAUUCUGUGAAAACAAAUAGACACACACUGUAGCUAUGGUAAGAGGUGAAAGUAACAAUAAAAAUAAUUUCAUGAUAAAGUAACAUGACAUCACAAACAAACUAUGAAGGUAUCUGAAAAGUCUGUUGUCAGCAGUGCUUAGGGUACAUUGUAGGUUUCUUAUAUAUUCCUGUUCCUAUGUAAGAAAUGUCACUUAGCUUAUCUUGUCCAUCCCAUUAUAUAGCCAUGUGAAUGAAGUCAGGAGAGAAAAUACUGGUAAUAAUCACUUUCUGACUCCUUUCAUAUCACAGUCCUUUCACAGUCCUUCCACACUCCUUUCAUAUCCACCUAGCACAGAGAACUAGCAUUACUUCAAAGAGUGGGAAAUGGGGGAGGAUUAGAUGUCACUGAUGAGGUGUCAUGAUUCAGAUUAACAGGAGUACAAUUCUUUGAGGAGAGAAAGAAGCAUCUCAUUUUAG